UACGUAGGGUGCAAGCGUUGUCCGGAAUUAUUGGGCGUAAAGAGCUCGUAGGCGGUCUGUCGCGUCUGCUGUGAAAAACUCAGGGCUUAACCCUGAGCUUGCAGUGGGUACGGGCAGACUAGAGUGCGGUAGGGGAGACUGGAAUUCCUGGUGUAGCGGUGAAAUGCGCAGAUAUCAGGAGGAACACCGGUGGCGAAGGCGGGUCUCUGGGCCGUAACUGACGCUGGAGGAGCGAAAAGCAUGGGGAGCGAACAGG
rnacentral:rRNA from 1 species